UNGCCAAGUCCAGUAUGAGAAACCUGCCUUC
rnacentral:piRNA from 1 species